UAGCUCAGUUGGUAGAGCAGUUGACUUUUAAUCAAUUGGUCGCAGGUUCGAAUCCUGCACGACCCACCAAUCGUUCUGGUGGAACGCGAUAGUAAAACGUGAAGGAUAACGUUGCGUAAGCAACGGCCCGUAGGGCGAGACGAAGUCGAGUCAUCCUGCACGACCCACCA
rnacentral:sRNA from 1 species